GGAGGCCGGGGCUGGGCGCAGCGAGAGCCCGGCCGAGGGGCUGAGCCCGCGCCAAGCCUUCUCUGCUGCCGCUCUCUGCAGCUGGCAGAGGACAGGAGCCGAGCGGCCGAGCACCUGCGCCGGGUGCUGCCGUACCUGCAGAAGCCACAGGAGCCCCUGCGAGCGGCGGCCAUCAGGUUCAUGGGAAGGGUCUGGCGGCGCCAGAGGGGGCAGCAGGAAGAGCUCCAGGCCCUCAGGGAGGGCCUUCAAGCCCCAAGGAACAGUGCCAGCCCAUCCUGUUCGAUUACUGAAAAUCGUACCCAGUUUGCCCUAGGAGCUAAAGAAGUAGGGUUAUCUGCUGGAACCACUGAACCAUUGUCACAAGAACAACACCUGUAGUACAACCUCCCAGUGCUGCUGGAGCUCCAGGCACAGCUGAUGAUUGGCACAGCUGAGCCUGCGGGAAGCUCUCAGGGCUUCAACUCUCUCUUUGCCUGUAGAUAGUUCCCUCCCUCUAGCCCCCAGAGACUGUCCAUUCCCAUUUUACCCAUCACUCUCCAUCUCUUUUGACAGUUCCAUCUCAGGAGCCCUCAGACCAUGCCCAUCCCCUUUUUCCACCCCAUAUCAUCCCUUUUUUUUGCCUUCCAUUAAUAAACAGUUUGGCUUCUUCACUUGGCCUGCAUCUCUGUGGAGCUGAAGCAGCACAAAUCCAGGGUGCAGGGACACACAGGCCCCUCCUGCUGUUCUCUUCUGGGCCGUGUGCUGUACAGAGACCCAGAGGAAUGAGGGCAGAUCAGGCUGCAAAGGUCCCUGUGCUG